AAUGAACGCUGGCGGCAUGCCUAACACAUGCAAGUCGAACGGAAACACGACGAGAGGUCCCCUCUAACGGUAGACGGGGGCGGAAUGGUUAGGCAUGUAUCCACUCCUUAUAAAUCACUGCUCAAAACAGUAAACAAUACCUCAUACCAGCUAAUAUAGAAAACCGGAUACCUCAAGGGUUCACGCGAUUUUAGCUGCCACUUUUAGGUGAAUUAGUGCCGCGUUAGAUAGUUGGUAGGGUAAAGGCUCACCAAGGCAACGAUGCGUAGCUGGUCUGAGAGGAUGAUCAGCCACACUGGAACUGAGACACGGUCCAGACUCCUACGGGAGGCAGCAGUGGGGAAUUUUGGACAAUGGGCGCAAGCCUGAUCCAGCAAUGCCGCGUGCGUGAAGAAGGCCUUCGGGUUGUAAAACGCUUUUGUUAGGAAAGAAAAGCCGCUGGUUAAUACCCGGCGGUACUGACGGUACCGUAAGAAUAAGCACCGGCUAACUACGUG
rnacentral:rRNA from 1 species